rnacentral:rRNA from 2 species
GGUUAAGUGAAUAAGGGCGCACGGUGGAUGCCUUGGCACUAGGAGCCGAUGAAGGACGGGACUAACACCGAUAUGCUUCGGGGAGCUGUAAGUAAGCUUUGAUCCGGAGAUUUCCGAAUGGGGAAACCCAGCAUCUUUUAUAGGAUGUUACUUUUCAGUGAAUACAUAGCUGAUUAGAGGUAGACGCAGAGAACUGAAACAUCUAAGUACCUGCAGGAAGAGAAAGAAAAAUCGAUUCCCUGAGUAGCGGCGAGCGAAACGGGAAAAGCCCAAACCAAGAGGCUUGCCUCUUGGGGUUGUAGGACUCCGAUAUGGUAGUCCAGUGAGAUAGUCGAAGGACCUGGAAAGGUCUGCUAGAAAGGGUAAAAGCCCCGUAGACAAAAUUUGACUGGCACCUAGGAGGAUCCUGAGUACGGCGGAACACGAGGAAUUCCGUCGGAAUCCGGGAGGACCAUCUCCCAAGGCUAAAUACUCCCUAGUGACCGAUAGUGAACCAGUACCGUGAGGGAAAGGUGAAAAGCACCCCGGAAGGGGAGUGAAAUAGAUCCUGAAACCGUGUGCCUACAACAAGUUAGAGCCCGUUAAUGGGUGAUAGCGUGCCUUUUGUAGAAUGAACCGGCGAGUUACGAUUACUUGCGAGGUUAAGUUGAAAAGACGGAGCCGCAGCGAAAGCGAGUCUGAAUAGGGCGAAUGAGUAAGUGGUCGUAGACCCGAAACCAUGUGAUCUACCCAUGUCCAGGUUGAAGGUGCGGUAAAACGCACUGGAGGACCGAACCCACGUACGUUGAAAAGUGCGGGGAUGAGGUGUGGGUAGCGGAGAAAUUCCAAACGAACUUGGAGAUAGCUGGUUCUCUCCGAAAUAGCUUUAGGGCUAGCCUCAGAGUAAGAAUGAUGGAGGUAGAGCACUGUUUGGACUAGGGGCCCAUCUCGGGUUACCGAAUUCAGAUAAACUCCGAAUGCCAUCCAUUCAUCUCUGGGAGUCAGACUGUGAGUGAUAAGAUCCAUAGUCGAAAGGGAAACAGCCCAGACCACCAGCUAAGGUCCCCAAAUAACUAUUAAGUGGAAAAGGAUGUGGGGUUGCACAGACAACUAGGAUGUUGGCUUAGAAGCAGCCACCAUUUAAAGAGUGCGUAAUAGCUCACUAGUCGAGUGACCCUGCGCCGAAAAUGUACCGGGGCUAAAUAGUUUACCGAAGCUGUGGAACACACCAAUGGUGUGUUGGUAGGAGAGCGUUCUAAGGGCGUUGAAGGUAGAUCGUGAGGACUGCUGGAGCGCUUAGAAGUGAGAAUGCCGGUAUGAGUAGCGAAAGACAGGUGAGAAUCCUGUCCACCGAAUGACUAAGGUUUCCUGGGGAAGGCUCGUCCGCCCAGGGUUAGUCGGGACCUAAGCCGAGGCCGAAAGGCGUAGGCGAUGGAUAACAGGUUGAUAUUCCUGUACCCGUUGUUUUUGUUUGAGCAAUGGAGGGACGCAGGAGGCUAAGGAAUCAGACGAUUGGAAAUGUCUGUCCAAGCAAUGAGUCUUGAUGUGAGUCAAAUGCUUACAUCUCUAAGGACAAGUUGUGAUGGGGAGGGAAAUAAUAGUACCGAAGUUCCUGAUGUCACACUGCCGAGAAAAGCUUCUAGUGAGAAAACAAUGGCCCGUACCGCAAACCGACACAGGUAGUCGAGGAGAGAAUCCUAAGGUGAGCGAGAGAACUCUCGUUAAGGAACUCGGCAAAAUGACCCCGUAACUUCGGGAGAAGGGGUGCUGAUCUAACGAUCAGCCGCAGUGAAUAGGCCCAAGCGACUGUUUAUCAAAAACACAGGUCUCUGCAAAAUCGAAAGAUGACGUAUAGGGGCUGACGCCUGCCCGGUGCUGGAAGGUUAAGAGGAGUGCUUAGCGUAAGCGAAGGUACGAAUUGAAGCCCCAGUAAACGGCGGCCGUAACUAUAACGGUCCUAAGGUAGCGAAAUUCCUUGUCGGGUAAGUUCCGACCCGCACGAAAGGCGUAACGAUUUGGG